UCACUGGGGCUUCCGGAGCUGUAAACAC
rnacentral:piRNA from 1 species